rnacentral:lncRNA from 10 species
GUAGUUACAGAGCUAGUGAGUCCCUUCCUCCCGUCUCUCAUGCCCAGGAAAUGCUCCAGCGACCCCAGCUCAGUUUUCACUUAAGUCCUUCCUCAUGGCUGUUUAGCAGAGUGUAAUUUAGGCCAAUUACUUUGCUGAUGCCGCUUAUCCUCCCUCCUCGCCCUCCCCUAAAUUCCCACUGUACCCCCGCUCCUUCCCCAUUUACAUUUUUCAGAUGAAACAAUAGACAGAAUGUGAAAGUGAGCCUAGCUCAUUUGGCCUGGAGGCUACAACAGGUUGAUACUACCAGAGGAGCAAGGCCCACCUGACGGGACUAGGGGAAACACGUGGAUGCUGACAGGCCAAGAGGGAAGAUUGCAGCCAACUGGUGCCCCAUCUUAAAACUUUCUCCCAUCAAACUCAUUCUGGUGAAUCACUCAUGGAUUUAAGAGGCUGAGAAGUUCUACAAACUGCCAUUUCCAGGUUUUUCUGGAGAACCAGGAAAAUCAGCAGUGUAACUCAAAGUCCUGAGAACCAGUGGAGCUGAUGGUGUUAAAAGAUCUGUUGCUCCACUCAGCGUUAUGGACCCAGGAAAUCAGCAACUAAGGAACAACUGCAAACUUUGAAGUCAGUAAGGACCCAGGAAAUUAGAAGCUAAGGGAUCGUGACCUUUGAAGUAAAUAAAUCUUGCCUGUAUACUAAUUUCAGAGGAUAUAAACUGUUCCUUAAUACUGCCUUAAAAAUUAUAUAUUUGUGUGUAUGUAUAAUUUUAAUGUAUAUGUUAUAUUUAAUGUAUAUAUUAUAUAUGAAAUACAAAAAUAUAUUUUAUAUUUACUGAAAUAUAAAAUACAUGUAAUGUUACAGGCUUAAUAAAAAGUGACUUAAUAUCUUGUCCUUGCUAUAUGUCAGAAGUAAUUAGUAUUCUAUUCAUUUGUAAACAUUAAAAAUUUUUCAAUGCAUUUAAACUUUUUGAAGCGUAUCAUAGAAAUUUAAAGAUCAAGUUUUGCUUUAGGAUCAUUUAUGCUUCAUUGAAACUUUGCAUGAUGUCCCUCUCCAUCUUUCAUUCAAAAGUCUAAAUUUAGGAUGGUGUGAGAUUACAGCAAAAGGAGAGUUACAGAAUUGAGCCAGUUAUCUAAAAAAAAACUCAGGCCAAGGUUGCUCUUUUCUCAAUUCUGGGAACCUUUUCCAUUAUUUCAGCUAAAAAGCUUGUUUCAUUAUCAUACAUCACAGAGUCACUUUAAAAGUGUAUAUGGAUGAAAUGUAUACAUUCAUUAUGUAUUUCCCGAAUUCUCUUCAAAGAAAACUUGCCAGACUAUAUAUAUUAAUCGGAAAUUGUUGCUUUAUUCUCACCAUAGAGGAACCAUAUAAAACACUUGAUCAUAAAGUAAGUUCUAAAAUUAUAAAC